rnacentral:rRNA from 1 species
UGGGCGCAAGCCUGAUGCAGCGACGCCGCGUGGGUGAAGAAGGUCUUCGGAUCGUAAAGCCCUUUUCUGCGUGACGAGAGAGGACGGUAGCGCAGGAAUAAGUCUCGGCUAACUACGUGCCAGCAGCCGCGGUAAAACGUAGGAGACAAACGUUAUCCGGAGUUACUGGGCGUAAAGGGCGUGUAGGCGGACUGUUAAGUCUGGCGUGAAAGCUCCCGGCUAAACCGGGAGAGGUCGUUGGAUACUGGCAGACUAGAGGGUGGUAGAGGCGUGUGGAAUUCCGGGUGUAGUGGUGAAAUGCGUAGAGAUCCGGAGGAACACCAGUGGCGAAGGCGACACGCUGGGCCAUACCUGACGCUAAAGCGCGACAGCAUGGGGAGCAAACGGGAUUAGAAACCCCGGUAGUCCAUGCCGUAAACGAUGUCAGCUAGAUGUUCAAGACUCGCAAGAGGCUGGGGUAUCGAAGCAAACGCGAUAAGCUGACCGCCUGGGGAGUACG